CUCAAUUCAAGUAAAAUUAACAUGCAAGUAUAAGAAAUACAUAAUAUAAAAAUGAAAGUCAUGAAUAUAAAGAAAAGAGUCAAAAACAUAACUGGCCUAGGAUGAUAUCUUGGUAAAUAUUUGAAUUAAGCUAUAUUCUCCUAUAAAAGGAAGGUUUGAAGGCAGACAUUCAUACCGAUUAAAUUCGUGCAUUUAAGAAAUGGAAUUCUUGAGACGCAGUCUAGUUUUCCUCGCAGUACUGGCGAUGGCUACUUUAAGUAUCAUUCAGGCUGCUCCUGAACCUUGCAUAGCUGGUCGUAAGUGAUAAAAGAAGAACGAUGAAAAUUAAUUUUGGCUCUGAAAAAUGGAAUGAUACCCGAAUUAUGUUCUCCUAUAUAUGCAGAAACAUCUUAUAAACAGAAAAGAAAUGAUGGAAACUUUUGAAUUGUUUUCAAAUUUUCCCAUUAUCUGACUUUAUCUAAAAUAUCAUAAUAAAAUUUGUAAAUUUAUCUAAAAUA